GACAGAGGGUGCAAACGUUGUUCGGAUUUACUGGGCGUAAAGCGCGUGUAGGCGGCUUGGCAAGUCGGAUGUGAAAGCCCACGGCUCAACCGUGGAAGCGCAUCCGAAACGGCCUCGCUCGAGUCUCGGAGAGGAAGGUGGAAUGCUUGGUGUAGAGGUGAAAUUCGUUGAUAGCAUAACGACUGGUAACGGCGAAAGCAACCUUUUAUCUAAUAACUGACGUUGAGGGACGAAGGCUCGGGUAACGAACAGG
rnacentral:rRNA from 1 species